GACGAACGCUGGCGGCGUGCUUAACACAUGCAAGUCGAACGGAAAGGCCCUGCUUUUGUGGGGUGCUCGAGUGGCGAACGGGUGAGUAACACGUGAGUAACCUGCCCUUGUCUUUGGGAUAACUUCAGGAAACUGGGGCUAAUACCGGAUAGGAGCUCCUGCUGCAUGGUGGGGGUUGGAAAGUUUCGGCGGUUGGGGAUGGACUCGCGGCUUAUCAGCUUGUUGGUGGGGUAGUGGCUUACCAAGGCUUUGACGGGUAGCCGGCCUGAGAGGGUGACCGGCCACAUGGGGACUGAGAUACGGCCCAGACGCCUACGGGAGGCAGCAGUGGGGAAUAUUGCACAAUGGGCGGAAGCCUGAUGUAGCAACGCCGCGUGCGGGAUGACGGCCUUCGGGUUGUAAACCGCUUUCGCCUGUGACGAAGCGUGAGUGACGGUAAUGGGUAAAGAAGCACCGGCUAACUACGUG
rnacentral:rRNA from 1 species